rnacentral:lncRNA from 1 species
CGACACUUCUUUACUAUUUCGGAUAGUGUCUGGAACGCACGAACAAAACGCCGCUAUUCGGAUAUAACGAUGGAUUAUUUUGGACCAAACCAACAUUUGUUAUUGAAGUAGACGUCCUGGGUGUGCAUUCUGACGAAGACAACAAAAGCUUCGUGUGGAAUCUGAAGUGCUGUAAGGAGGAACUCUCUAACUACAGAUUCAGGAACUUCUCCUUCUUUCUCUUGGAUACCUGAGCCUGGGAAGGCGUCACAUCUUCUGUCGCCAAUAACCCUUGCAAAUCUUCUGCUGUGAAUUCCUGAAGCCCCAUAUACUUUUCUGCUGCAUCCACAAUAGAGCUUGUUAACUUGUGGUCCUAAAAACCAGAAAUGUUUUUCUCUGGUUUGUUCAGCCAUUCCUAUGGGGGAAAUUAAUGGGGAAAGAAUGGGGUUUUGGGAUAAAGGCCGAAAAUAAAGUCUG